GCUAGAAUGUGCCUUUAUGUGCAUGCGCUCGACGUAUUGGCCACACUUGAAUCAAGCGACAAGGUGGAUGAUAGUCUAAUGAUGUUGUUGUUUUUUUUCGACGCAAUGAGCACCCCUGGUCCCCCAAGAAACUUUACUGGAAUUAAGUUGUGUGCAUGAGUAUGCUCCGUUCCCCACGAUGCCUUUUGCUUGUCACUCACCCCUCUUUUCGCAUAGUUCACCAACACCAAAGGAACAAAGGCAAAGUUUUGGAAUUUGUGAAGAAUAGACAUUUGUAGGUGGCACGGUGCCGCAACUGGAAUGGAUUGGAUUCACAGUUCUGAGGACCUGGGUUCAAUCCCGGCCCCGCCUGUGUGGGGUUUGCAUGUUCUCCCCGUGCCUGUGUGGGUUUUCUCCAGGCACUCUGGUUUCCUUCCACAUCGCAAAAACUUGCAUUGAUUGGAAAUUCUAUAUUGCCCCUAGGUGUGAUUUUGAUUGUGACUGUUGUCUGUCUCCAUGUGCCCUGUGAAUGGCUGGCAACCAUUUCGGGGUGUACCCUGCCUCCUGCCCGAUGACAGCUGGGAUUGGCACCACCACUCCUAUGACCCUCGUGAAGUGAAGUGAAGUGGCUCAGAAAAUGAAUGGAUAGACAUUUGUACAUUGAUUUGUAUACAUACAUUGAUUUGUGCAUAUUUUAUG